AAAAAAAAGCUUGCUUCUGAUACGUUCCCCUUACUGUUAGAGCUGUUCACCUUUGAUUUCCAAGUAAGAAAAAAGAAGAUGAAAUCAACAAUUCUGCUCCUCCGAGUUGGGAGUAUGAAAUAAGCCCAAUUAUUUAGGAAGCCUGAAAAAGGAAACUCUACAUUUCCUUGUUAAACACCUUGUUGCUUCUGAAAACUUUUCCAGUACUUUGCAGCUGCAGUGCUUUUCGUGGGAUUGACUUGAUGACAGUGUGGAGAGUGUAAUGUGGCAUUAACAUGAAAAUGGAGACUGUUACGUUUACUGCCUUCAGUGUGGUCUGAAGCAAUAUACAAAUGUUUCCAUGUGAAAGCACACCAACAGUUUUGAUGAGCUACAGUCAAGUGUAUGUCAUUCCACAUUGUGCUGGGUCUGGCUGCCUUUUAUAUUAUGCUCUGCUUUUGACAGCAACUGGAUAUGAAAUUUGGGUCUUCAUUGAGCUGUGA
rnacentral:lncRNA from 1 species